rnacentral:rRNA from 1 species
UACGUAGGGUGCAAGCGUUAAUCGGAAUUACUGGGCGUAAAGCGUGCGCAGGCGGUUUUGUAAGUCUGUCGUGAAAUCCCCGGGCUCAACCUGGGAAUUGCGAUGGAGACUGCAAGGCUAGAAUCUGGCAGAGGGGGGUAGAAUUCCACGUGUAGCAGUGAAAUGCGUAGAUAUCUGGAGGAAUAUCGGUGGCGAAGGCGGCAUCCUGGACCGGCAUUGACGCUGAGGAGCGAAAGCUAGGGGAGCAAACGGG